UGCAAGUCGAGGGGCAGCAUGGUCUUAGCUUGCUAAGGCCGAUGGCGACCGGCGCACGGGUGAGUAACACGUAUCCAACCUGCCGUCUACUCUUGGACAGCCUUCUGAAAGGAAGAUUAAUACAAGAUGGCAUCAUGAGUCCGCAUGUUCACAUGAUUAAAGGUAUUCCGGUAGACGAUGGGGAUGCGUUCCAUUAGAUAGUAGGCGGGGUAACGGCCCACCUAGUCUUCGAUGGAUAGGGGUUCUGAGAGGAAGGUCCCCCACAUUGGAACUGAGACACGGUCCAAACUCCUACGGGAGGCAGCAGUGAGGAAUAUUGGUCAAUGGGCGAGAGCCUGAACCAGCCAAGUAGCGUGAAGGAUGACUGCCCUAUGGGUUGUAAACUUCUUUUAUAAAGGAAUAAAGUCGGGUAUGCAUACCCGUUUGCAUGUACUUUAUGAAUAAGGAUCGGCUAACUCCGUGCCAGCCGCCGCGGUAAUU
rnacentral:rRNA from 2 species